rnacentral:rRNA from 1 species
GACGGGGCCGCACAAGCGGAGGAGCAUGUGGUUUAAUUCGAUGAUACGCGAGGAACCUUACCUGGGCUCGAACGUAAGAUGACUGUAGGUGAAAGCUUACAUCUCUUCGGAGCAUUUUACGAGGUGCUGCAUGGUUGUCGUCAGCUCGUGCCGUGAGGUGUCGGGUUAAGUCCCCAUAACGAGCGCAACCCCUACCUUUAGUUGCCAUCAGGUAAUGCUGGGGACUCUAAAGGAACUGCCUACGCAAGUAGUGAGGAAGGCGGGGAUGACGUCAAAUCAGCACGGCCCUUACGUCCAGGGCUACACACGUGCUACAAUGGCCGAUACAGAGGGCAGCUACCUGGUGACAGGAUGCAAAUCUCCAAAGUCGGUCUCAGUUCGGAUCGGAGUCUGCAACCCGACUCCGUGAAGUUGGAUUCGCUAGUAAUCGCGCAUCAGCCAUGGCGCGGUGAAUACGUUCCCGGGCCUU